rnacentral:lncRNA from 1 species
GUCCGAUUUCUCUCUCCCUCGUCUUUCUUAAAAGCUUAGCUGGGGCUCCCCGGUGUCCUCGGGGCCAGCGCGGGUCUCUCUCUGCUUGGCGCCAGGAUGAUCCCACGUGCAGGUGAACCUGGGAUCGGGGAAAGGGGACACGCAGGCGGCUUUAGAGGCGCCAGGGAGGCGGCUGGUGCUCAAACAGCCCGGUGUCUAGUUAGUCCCCACCGGGGAGAUUCCUGAGCUCUAGAAACCUUUCCCUGCCUUUCAACGUUUUGCGUUCUCAUUUGUGGCUGGGGGAGCCGAUACAGGCUGGGCAGCAGCAGAUAGCUAAGGUGUGGGGCAAGGAUCGUCCCGGAGCAUCAUUCUAAAAUAGGGUGGGUGGGGCGGGGGGGGGAGAAACUUUCUCCACACCACCCCGGCCUCCUGCCACGCUAUUUCUCUCCUCCCAGUCCAGACCCAGCCGGGUAAUUUCUUUUCCAGAGGGUGAUGACCAGAAGGACAUUCAAAGAGUAAUGCUGGAUCCGGCCAGCGACCCACUGCAUCCUGGUCUCCCAGUGGUCAAGCUGGAUGCCCGUGGGAAACUCGUGUGCCGGACCCCAGAGCGCUCUCCCCUCCUGGGGGCCAAGGGAUGGAUGGGGAAAGGCAAAUGGCGACGGCGAAAAAAUCUGUGGCUGCCACAGCCCUGCCAAGGAGGAUGUGGAAAUGCCCUCCUCCUGGUUAAAGGAAGGGUUGAGCGCCCGUUCCCCGCUCUGCCGCUAUUCAGACGUGUUUCCAAAGCGAGUGCCAUUCUAACAGGAGAGCGGAUCCUUUUCUCCUGCUAAUUUUCUCACCGGCGGUCGAUACGAAACCACCCGUGAAAAAGCAAAGAGAAAUUCCAAUGGAUAUAUUUUUAUUUUAAAAGAAAAGAAUGCUUUUAGGUUUAGAGCAAGAUCAGAUUGGGGGUGGGAAGGAUGAAACAUCACACCUGUAACGUUAUGGUCCUGAGCAUUUUCUUCUCUGCAAUGUAUGGCACCGAGUAGGCGCUCAGUCCGCUGCUUGGGAAUGAAUUAGUGAAGUGGUUUGGCGUUUCUAGCGGAAUUGCUAGAUGUCCAGCCGUUAGAAUAAAGAAGAGCGCGCUCCGUAUUUACUCCUGAGUAGUCACAUUGGAUAGAUGGGUUAUGAUCGUCGAAGGCUGCGAGUACAAUUUCUUGGGAGUCCUGCUGAACCGAUUACUGUGCAGUAUUAGCAACUUCUGAACAAAUGCACAUAGGAUCGCGCUGCCCAUUAUGUAGGCGACCACUUGAGGCACGCUUUUUUGAGAGAAGUCUCAUUGAGCAGUGAGGUCUACCUCUGAGCAAACACGCGCGUUUCCCAAUUCAUUGGAUUUGGAAAUAGGAAGGAAACAAACAUUUGGCACCUGUGUGGUCAGCCUGGAAAGACUAAUAAAACAGAAGUCUCCAGUUGGCAAAAUGUAAACAGAGAAUAUUUUAAAAGCUCUGUAUGAGAGCCCCCAGUUUCCCCUUACCCUUUCGGGGGCUCCGGUGCCUUUAAAACUUGAUUGACAAACAGAAACCCAGCAGGUUAAUACCAUUUCAUGUGCUCAGCUUCAAUAUGCAAACUUCCCUGGCUGUUUCUGGCCAAAGGAAAUCGGUCCUUUGAUCUCUUACGUCACAGCGCAACCCUAGCCCUGUUUACUCAGAAGCGUGUCCUAUUGAAUCCAGUGCGGGAUUACCCCCCAGGCGUGUGGGGCUAGGACUACAGCCUAAACUGGCAAAGUAAAUAUGGUGAAGGAUCGCAGCUCAGUGGCAUAGCAUCUGAUUGGCAUGCAGAAGGUCCCAGGUUCAGCCCACAGCGGCAGCGAGGAGACACUCCUCGCCUGAAACGCUGCUGCUUGUCCGUGUAGAGAAAACUGUGCUGAAUGGACCGUUGUGCUGCUGUGUGCAAUCGUCUGGCAGUUCCCCCGUUGAAGGUCUGGGGGCUGCAGGCACAGCAGAAUCACAGGAAACUUUAACUCACAUAUAUCCAUUUCCUCUCUUAAAGGGGAUUUAUUUCUUCUUCCAUUCAUUCAUCCGUUUCGUCUGAAUCAACAAACACCCUCUGUUUAGACACGGGAUUCGAUAUCCCCGGACGAAGCUCAGAGCAAGCAGAAUGUAGUCGGGUGCUGACCAAUCCAGGACCUGCCUGAUUUCCUAUAAUGUUAGUAUUUGAUUUUCAGGCACCGGGUCGACAGCCUGGACGUGGGUAAAGCUACUGUUUAGUAUCCCACAUAAAAUGUCCAAAGGAGCGUCAAAUUUGAUCUCAGGGAGUGGUUGGGAGGUGAAGGGGUCCAGAGACAACCCCCUAAAUCUCUGACGUGCACAGGGAUUGGGUCAAAGCAGUAGUAAGGAGUUGCAGUUGUCUUGGGGGGACACAGGAUUGCUGGGUCUGAAAGAAACGUUAAAGCAAUCUCGUAGGAAGAGUUAGUUGCCCUUUUCACAGAACCAUAGAACUGGAAGGAAUUCCCCAGGGUCAUCUAGUCCAACCCCCUGCAAUGCAGGAAUUUUGACACACACACACACACUUUAAGGAAGGAGGGUGGGGAAAUUGGGGAAAGAACAAAUUGUGUGCUUGCUAUUGAAAGACUCUGUGGUAUACUCCUGAACCCAAGAUGCUCUUGAGCCGCAAGGGUUGAGAACUGCUGGGUCCUUGCGAGGGUGACCAGUCCUCAGAAAGGAGCAACAAUGCCUAGUGGUUUGAUGGGAUGGGGAUGUUACAGAUGCCCUGGUACUGUAGCUAGUUGUUCAGCAAGUGAUGGACCUGGGGGCUGAGGUCUAGGGCCUCACAGCCCAAGGGACCACCCAGACAGUGGGAUAUGAUGGAAGCAGCUGCAAAGAGGCCCUGCUCACCACAGCAUCUUUCCUUUCCCCCUUUUCUUUUAAACUUGCAGGGAAGACAUGGCCAACUGGACAUGUAUGUGGCCCUCCUCCAGAUGUUGCUGAACUACAAAAACAAAUUUAGGCAAGACUUAUAAAAUAUAUUGAAAUAAACAGGG